rnacentral:rRNA from 1 species
UACGUAGGUGGCAAGCGUUGUCCGGAUUUACUGGGCGUAAAGAGCGCGCAGGCGGUCGGAUCAGUCGAAUGUGAAAGCCCCCGGCUCAACUGGGGAGGGCCAUUCGAUACUGUCCGACUCGAAGGCAGGAGAGGGAAGCGGAAUUCCCGGUGUAGUGGUGAAAUGCGUAGAUAUCGGGAGGAACACCAGUGGCGAAGGCGGCUUUCUGGCCUGUUCUUGACGCUGAGGCGCGAAAGCUAGGGGAGCGAACCGG